CCCGGCAAUGAAUUGCCGGGCUAUUAUCUUUCGUCCCUAACGGGACU
rnacentral:sRNA from 1 species